UUUUCAUUGCCUACCAUGUACCUCAGCUCAAUGAUAAGAAUCCAGGUUUCUUUUCUCAUUUCCAGAAAAUGUGAACUGCGCUUCAAUAUCAGGGCUGGUGGUGCCCACAAUGAUGGCUUCAGAAAGGUCACCCAAUAGAUCUGGUUGCAGCCCAAGAGGAAUUUCCCUUUGCUACCUUGACUUCUUCUCACCAGAAAGGUUAGCACAGGAAACUC